UACGAAGGGGGCUAGCGUUGCUCGGAAUCACUGGGCGUAAAGGGUGCGUAGGCGGGUCUUUAAGUUCAGGGGUGAAAUCCUGGAGCUCAACUCCAGAACUGCCUUUGAUACUGAGGAUCUUGAGUUCGGGAGAGGUGAGUGGAACUGCGAGUGUAGAGGUGAAAUUCGUAGAUAUUCGCAAGAACACCAGUGGCGAAGGCGGCUCACUGGCCCGAUACUGACGCUGAGGCACGAAAGCGUGGGGAGCAAACAGG
rnacentral:rRNA from 1 species